rnacentral:rRNA from 1 species
AUUGAACGCUGGCGGCAUGCUUUACACAUGCAAGUCGGACGAGUGGCGAACGGGUGAGUAACGCAUCGGAACGUACCGAGUAAUGGGGGAUAACUGUCAGAAAGGACAGAUAAUACCGCAUAUUAUUCGAGCGGCCGAUGUCGGAUUAGCUGGUUGGAGGGGUAAAGGCACACCAAGGCGACGAUCAGUAGCGGGUCUGAGAGGAGGAUCCGCCACACUGGGACUGAGACACGGCCCAGACUCCUACGGGAGGCAGCAGUGGGGAAUUUUUGACAAGGGGCGCAAGCCUGAUCCAGCAAUGCCGCGUGUGUGAAGAAGGCCUUCGGAUUGUAAAGCACUUUUGUCAGAGAAGCGGUACCUGAAGAGUAAGCAACGGCUAACUACGUGCCAGCCGCCGCGGUAAUUC